rnacentral:rRNA from 1 species
GAUGAACGCUAGCGGCAGGCUUAACACAUGCAAGUCGAGGGGUAUUUAUCUUCGGAUAGAGAGACCGGCGCACGGGUGCGUAACGCGUAUGCAAUCUACCUUUUACAGAGGGAUAGCCCAGAGAAAUUUGGAUUAAUACCUCAUAGUAUAUAGACUCGGCAUCGAGAUUAUAUUAAAGUCACAACGGUAAAAGAUGAGCAUGCGUCCCAUUAGCUAGUUGGUAAGGUAACGGCUUACCAAGGCUACGAUGGGUAGGGGUCCUGAGAGGGAGAUCCCCCACACUGGUACUGAGACACGGACCAGAAUCCUACGGGAGGCAGCAGUGAGGAAUAUUGGACAAUGGGCGCAAGCCUGAUCCAGCCAUGCCGCGUGCAGGAUGACGGUCCUAUGGAUUGUAAACUGCUUUUAUACGAGAAGAAACACUGCUACGUGUAGCAGCUUGACGGUAUCGUAAGAAUAAGGAUCGGCUAACUCCGUG